GUUGGCUUAGAAGCAGCCACUCAUUUAAAGAGUGCGUAAUAGCUCACUAGUCGAGAGAUCCUGCGCCGAAAAUGUCCGGGGCUCAAACUUACCACCGAAGCUACGGGCUUGCGUAAGCAAGCGGUAGGGGAGCGUCGUAAUCGGGCUGAAGUCGUACCGUAAGGAGCGGUGGACUGAUUACGAGUGAGAAUGUUGGCAUUAGUAGCGAGAUGUAGGUGAGAAUCCUACAGGCCGAAUAUCUAAGGUUUCCUCAGGAAGGCUCGUCCGCUGAGGGUUAGUCGGGACCUAAGCCGAGGCCGAAAGGCGUAGGCGAUGGACAAUCGGUUGAUAUUCCGAUACCACUACCAUCGUUAUUAUCGAGGGUGUGACGGAGAAGGAUAGUGUGUGCUAGCGAUUGGAAAUGCUAGUCUAAGCGUUUAGGGAGUUACGGUAGGCAAAUCCGCUGUAACAAUUCUGAGGCGUGAUGGGGAAGGCCAUAUAGGCCGAAGUACAUGAUUCCAUGCUUCCAAGAAAAGCAUCUAGAGAGAGAAGUAGUGCCCGUACCGCAAACCGACACAGGUAGAUGAGGAGAGAAUCCUAAGGCCGGCGGAAGAAUUGCAGUUAAGGAACUAGGCAAAUUGACCCCGUAAGUUCGCGAGAAGGGGUGCCUGCGAGAGCAGGCCGCAGAGAAUAGGCCCAAGCAACUGUUUAGCAAAAACACAGGUCUCUGCUAAAGCGUAAGCUGAUGUAUAGGGGCUGACGCCUGCCCGGUGCUGGAAGGUUAAGGGGAACACUUAGCGCAAGCGAAGGUGUGAACUUAAGCCCCAGUAAACGGCGGCCGUAACUAUAACGGUCCUAAGGUAGCGAAAUUCCUUGUCAGGUAAGUUCUGACCCGCAUGAAAGGCGUAAUGAUUUGGGCACUGUCUCAACAGCCCGCCCGGCGAAAUUGUAGUACCGGUGAAGAUGCCGGUUACCCGCGACAAGACGGAAAGACCCCAUGGAGCUUUACUGUAGCCUAAUAUUGGGUUUCGAUGUUGCAUGCACAGGAUAGAUGGGACACAGGGAAACAAGUGCUUUGGCAUUUGUGGAGUGGCCGUUGGGAUACCAUCCUUGCGAUAUUGGAAUUCUAACCUGCGCCUUUGAAUCAAGGCGGGGGACAUUGUUAGGUGGGCAGUUUGACUGGGGCGGUCGCCUCCUAAAGAGUAACGGAGGCGUUCAAAGGUUCGCUCAGCUUGAACGGAAAUCAAGCAAAAGAGUGCAAACGCAGAAGCGAGCCUAACUGCGAGACUGACGGGUCGAGCAGUAACGAAAGUUGGAGUUAGUGAUCCGGUGGUAUGUGAGUGGAAAUGCCAUCGCUCAACGGAUAAAAGUUACCCUGGGGAUAACAGGCUGAUCUCCCCCAAGAGUCCACAUCGACGGGGAGGUU
rnacentral:rRNA from 1 species